ACCCGCUGAACUUAAGCAUAUCAAUAAGCGGAGGAAAAGAAACCAACAGGGAUUGCCCUAGUAACGGCGAGUGAAGCGGCAACAGCUCAAAUUUGAAAUCUGGCUCUUUUAGAGUCCGAGUUGUAAUUUGCAGAGGGCGCUUUGGCUUUGGCAGCGGUCCAAGUUCCUUGGAACAGGACGUCACAGAGGGUGAGAAUCCCGUACGUGGUCGCUGGCUAUUGCCGUGUAAAGCCCCUUCGACGAGUCGAGUUGUUUGGGAAUGCAGCUCUAAAUGGGAGGUACAUUUCUUCUAAAGCUAAAUAUUGGCCAGAGACCGAUAGCGCACAAGUAGAGUGAUCGAAAGAUGAAAAGCACUUUGGAAAGAGAGUCAAACAGCACGUGAAAUUGUUGAAAGGGAAGCGCUUGCAGCCAGACUUGCUUACAGUUGCUCAUCCGGGCUUUUGCCCGGUGCACUCUUCUGUAGGCAGGCCAGCAUCAGUUUGGGCGGUAGGAUAAAGGUCUCUGUCACGUACCUCUCUUCGGGGAGGCCUUAUAGGGGAGACGACAUACUACCAGCCUGGACUGAGGUCGCGCAUCUGCUAGGAUGCUGGCGUAAUGGCUGU
rnacentral:rRNA from 1 species